rnacentral:rRNA from 1 species
GAUGAACGCUGGCGGCGUGCCUAAUACAUGCGAGUCGAGCGAACAGACGAGGAGCUUGCUCCUCUGACGUUAGCGGCGGACGGGUGAGUAACACGUGGAUAACCUACCUAUAAGACUGGGAUAACUUCGGGAAACCGGAGCUAAUACCGGAUAAUAUAUUGAACCGUAUGGUUCAAUAGUGAAAGACGGUUUUGCUGUCACUUAUAGAUGGAUCCGCGCCGCAUUAGCUAGUUGGUAAGGUAACGGCUUACCAAGGCAACGAUGCGUAGCCGACCUGAGAGGGUGAUCGGCCACACUGGAACUGAGACACGGUCCAGACUCCUACGGGAGGCAGCAGUAGGGAAUCUUCCGCAAUGGGCGAAAGCCUGACGGAGCAACGCCGCGUGAGUGAUGAAGGUCUUCGGAUCGUAAAACUCUGUUAUUAGGGAAGAACAAAUGUGUAAGUAACUAUGCACGUCUUGACGGUACCUAAUCAGAAAGCCACGGCUAACUACGUG